rnacentral:rRNA from 1 species
UACGUAGGGUGCGAGCGUUGUCCGGAAUUAUUGGGCGUAAAGAGCUUGUAGGCGGUUUGUCGCGUCUGCCGUGAAAUUUCGAGGCUCAACCUCGAGCUUGCGGUGGGUACGGGCAGACUAGAGUGUGGUAGGGGAGACUGGAAUUCCUGGUGUAGCGGUGAAAUGCGCAGAUAUCAGGAGGAACACCGGUGGCGAAGGCGGGUCUCUGGGCAGUAACUGACGCUGAGGAGCGAAAGCGUGGGGGAGCGAACAGG